rnacentral:sRNA from 1 species
UACUGACCUUCAUCAUAUAAUCUGAUUCAUCUGGUCGAACCUUUGGUGAACCAGAUGGAGCUGGAGAACCCAUUCUAGCAAGGUCAUUCUGUGAUUGUGCUUGAGCAAUUAAUUGUUGUUGUGGCGAUAAAAGUUGAAAUUGGUUUGGAGAUGCCAUCAACUGCUUCUGCACACCUAAAUUUGACCGGAGUUGGUCAAUACCUGGGACCUUCAGCAGGCAACUAGUAGGUAAGCUUUUCUUCAAGGAAACCAGAGAAGUAUGCAAGCAUAUGGAAAGGGAUAUCAGCAAACUCACUGUAAGAGGCCAGCCUUUCAGUGGUACACUACCAACACCUUGAUUUAAUCCUAAGUAGAAGCAAAAGAAUUAUAAGGAAAAAUGUGCCUUCCAUCAUUUACUGGAAUUGCUAAUCAAACGCUGAUGGCCACAU